CUUCUAAACAAGGAUCAGCAUUACCGUCCAACAUUUCUAAGUUUGUUACUGAACCGACGUGAUUGCGGUAAAAUACGAAAAUGAUGUGCUCAUCAUCUGAAACAGAUGUUCACUGAAUCUGCGAAUGAAGACAUCACAUUUAAUAGUAUCCAAAACAGUUAAUUACCUUCGCAAAGCCUUCGUUAGACGGAAUGAAUAAACCAGCGCAACUAAAUUCCAUUUGCAAACGAGCCGACAACUGCUAAGACCGCCACUAAGUAAGGUAUCGCCAAAGACUUCGUAAUAUUUGCCGAGAGUCUUCCUUCGCAAAUUCAUGUUUCAGUACAUUCAUGUUGGAAAGAGAAGACGUAAGAGAAGAUAGAAUAAAUAUAUAGCAAAAUAUAUAGCGAUUAUGUUGUUCUAAUAUAUGAAUGAAGGUACCAACUCAGUAGCACGCUGAUUAAUGCUCCGAUGAUUAGUAAAGCUACAUGGUUCACACUUUGCAUUGAACAAGUGAAUCAAUUUAUUCGCGAGCGUAUUACUAAGGCUACAAACGUAGAUGAGGAUUCUACUAAAAUAUAUGUAUUAAUAUGGCAACAACAAACUAGCCAUCCAACAGUACAUUUCCGGCAAUGGAAUAUGAAGAUAAUUCAUCACAAACAGAUGUUACGAAUAGGCUAUAGAGUAUCGCAAGCUUGUGUAAUCAAAAACGAUUGGGAUCUGUAUGAACGUAUGAAACAAUUGAACUAAAACAUACCUGGUGAUCUCCAAUAAUCCACACAAGUAAGAGGCAAUGACAGCAAGCGAUGAUUCCGUACAGGUUAACGAGAAUAGUCCCAUCCAGAUUACAAUUAGAAGUUGGAAUCAGUAGUACCGCAGAUGAUAUCAAUAUUCCUCCAAAUGAUAGGACUAUAAAUAAAAAUAAUGUUGCUCUAAAAUAGAUCCAAC